rnacentral:tRNA from 1 species
AGUUUUAUAGUUUAUGAAAAAUAUUAAAUUGCAAGUUUAAAGAAGAAUUAAAUAUAUCUAAGACUU